rnacentral:misc_RNA from 1 species
UACAUUCGUCCUCCACACGCACGGGUACAACGCGUAACAGGGGUGCGGUGCGUCGCGAGAACUCCUCGCGGCACCGGGCGGUGCCGUAUCGCUUCUGGAAGUGAAAGCUCGAGAUCGCCACCACCAUCACCACCACCAUCAUCAUCAUCACCACCAACAACAACAACAGCAACAGCAACAGCAACAGCAACAACACUCGUCCUCCGUAUCGGGAGUUUUGGGUCAUCACCGUCAGCCUGCGGUCGGAAUAGCUGCGGUAUCCUGCAGGGGUUGUCGUCCUCAGCCACACCCUUACGCUCGACUGCAGCCGUGGGCAGUAUCGGCGCCAACCCCUCAUCAGGCACCAGCUGCCCCGACGCGAACGAGGGCGCGGGAACCCGCCGGUCCUCCCGAGCAUGCAAACGGAGAGAACGGGGCCACCGCGUCAAGAAGAUGGAGCAACGGGGGUUCGACGUCGGAAAGCGGCGGCGGCGGCGGCGGCAAACGUCGGCAGUCUUCUGCGAGUUCACAGAACGUUAAUCACGAAAAUCAUCAGCAUCAAAUCCAGGGGACGGUAAUCGAUUCGUCUUCGACGUUAUCGUUGACGUUGUCAUCGUCGCUUUUAGACCCCUCCCAUAGUUCGGCGGUUCCUCGUUCCCUUCAAUCGACGACGACGACAACCUCGUUCGCCGCACCAAAUGCGUCAUCGUCGUCGCAUAACGUUAAUAACAAUAACGAUAGUAAUAACAUAAAUAACAAUAGCAAUAACAACGACAACAAUAAAAGUAGUAAUAACCGUAACGACGACGACGAUUAUAACAACAACAACAACAACAACAAUAAUAAUAACAGUUCGUCGCAAUCCGGUAACCAGCAGAGCAUAAUUCAGUCGAAUCUACACCCAGUUGGUAACAGUACCUAUUCGACGCCAUACGAUACCACUACCAGGUGUUCCAUUCAACCGAACAAUUCCGCAACACUGAGUGGGCAAAAAUUGAAACAUCAGCAACGAUACCAAAUUCAGGGAUACACCUCACAGAAAUCAUCAUCGUCAUCGUCAUCCUCGUCCUUAUCCUCGUC